GUGAACGCUGGCGGCGUGCUUAACACAUGCAAGUCGAACGGACUUAAGGGGCUUGCUUCUUAAGUUAGUGGCGCACGGGUGAGUAAUAUAUAGCUAACCUGCCCUUUAGUGGGGGACAACAGUUGGAAACGACUGCUAAUACCCUAUACUCCUUCUAACUAUAAGGUAAGUUGGGAAAGAUUUAUCGCUAAAGGAUGGGGCUUUAUUGUAUCAGCUAGUUGGUGGGGUAAUGGCCUACCAAGGCUAUGACGCAUACCUGGUCUGAGAGGAUGAUCAGGCACACUGGAACUGAGACACGGUCCAGACUCCUACGGGAGGCAGCAGUGGGGAAUAUUGCACAAUGGAGGAAACUCUGAUGCAGCAACGCCGCGUGGAGGAUGACGCAUUUCGGUGUGUAAACUCCCUUUGUAGGGGAAGAUAAUGACGGUACCCUAUGAAUAAGCACCGGCUAACUCCGUGCCAGCAGCCGCGGUAAUACGGAGGGUGCAAGCGUUACUCGGAAUCACUGGGCGUAAAGGAUGCGUAGGCUGGAAAUCAAGUCGAGAGUGAAAUCCAACGGCUCAACCGUUGAACUGCUCUCGAAACUGGUUACCUAGAAUAUGGGAGAGGUAGAUGGAAUUAGUGGUGUAGGGGUAAAAUCCGUAGAUAUCACUAGGAAUACCGAUUGCGAAGGCGAUCUACUGGAACAUUAUGACGCUGAGGCA
rnacentral:rRNA from 1 species